UACGAAGGGUGCAAGCGUUACUCGGAAUUACUGGGCGUAAAGGGCGCGUAGGCGGGAUGGCAAGUCGGUCGUGAAAUCCCUCGGCUCAACCGAGGAACGUCGAUCGAUACUGCUGUUCUUGAGGAUUGCAGAGGAGACUGGAAUUCCCGGUGUAGCGGUGAAAUGUGUAGAGAUCGGGAGGAACACCGGUGGCGAAGGCGGGUCUCUGGGCAAUUCCUGACGCUGAGGCGCGAAAGCGUGGGGAGCAAACGGG
rnacentral:rRNA from 1 species